GAUGAACGCUGGCGGCGUGCCUAAUACAUGCAAGUCGAGCGGACAGACGCGGAUCUUGCUCCGCUGUCGUUAGCCGCACACGGGAGUGUCACACGUGUAUCCCCUACCUAUAUGACUGGUAUCACUUCGAGAAUCCGGAUCUUAUACCAUAUAAUAUAUUGAUCCACAUUGUUCAAUAGUAAAAUUCGGUUGUUCUGUCACUUAUCGAUGGAUCCGCGCCGGAUUAGCUAGUUGGUAAGGUAACGGCCUACCAAGGCGACGAUGCGUAGCCGACCUGAGAGGGUGAUCGGCCACACUGGAACUGAGACAGGGUCCAUACGACUACGGGAGGCCGCAGACGGGAAUGUUACGCAAUGGGCGAGAGCAUGACGGAGCAAGGCCGCGUGAGUGAUGAAGGUCUUCGGAUCGUAAAACCCUGUAACUAGGGAAGAACAACUGUGGAAGUAACCAAGCACGGAGUGACGGUAAUUAAUAAGAAAGCAACGGCUAACUACGUG
rnacentral:rRNA from 1 species